CUGAAGGAGGGGAGUGUAGUGCAUACCUUUUGUACAAUAGCCUACCAGUCAGAGCACUUGCCCAGGAAGUCAGAACGCGCUGAGGCCCUUCUACAAUCUUUGCUGUACAGCAGCACAUCUUCAACAGGAGGGACUGAGAACACUCCUGGUCACAUCUAAGACGUAAGAGCUGUGGGUUUGAGCUGCCUGAAGUAGACUUGACCCUCACUCAACCACUGUGUGACGUCUCUAUUUUUUCCAGGAGUGAUUAGUUGGAGGCUGGCCUGCCCUGCUUUGAGUUCUGAUAUGGGUCUGUUUUCUUUUGCCCUGACAAGAGCCUACCACACCCAAGUUUCGUACCGGAACACCUCAAACCAAAAAGCAUUCACACUUCAGGCAAACUUUCCUUUGCAGCUGAAGAAGUUAUGGGUGCAUCACAGAUGAGUGAAUCUGCUGGAAAUACUGGUUGUAAUACAUGCCAAUGUACAAUGCACUUUAUUUAGCUGCAAAGCAAGUAAGAGCUAUUUAUGUCCUUGCUGGUUGGUAACACCUACAUGUCCCCAUGCCUACUUUAGAAAUUAGGGCCCAGUGAAAUAAAUCUGACUUAGUAUCCUGUAAAGAAA